ncrna:unclassified sequences HNH endonuclease-associated RNA and ORF (HEARO) RNA
GUCAAUAACCCACCACGAAAGCAGUGAGCUUAUAUAAGCUUUUAUUGACUAGACCCGGUGUAUAAAGCACUCCGUUAUGUAAGAAUAUAUAGUUACCAGUGGACGUACAGCCUAAUCCACUGCUCUAAGAAUGGUGAUUAAACAGUUCUGACGGGAAGGAACAGUGUUGCUGUUAGAAAACCUUAUAUAACAUCGUCUAAGGCUGCAUGAC